rnacentral:lncRNA from 1 species
UGUAUAGGUGGGUACUUCGAUCCGACGUUGGUACAGUGGUGCACGCUCGGUGAUGGUUUCUUACCCUUGCUCUUUUGUUAUUAUCCAUGCAUAUAUUAUAUGUUGAGCUUUGCACCUCUAUCAUUUACAUUACACCCACGUUGUUUGAUUAUACUCUACUCAGACGUUUCCAUGCUUAGUAUCAUGUGUAGGUGUAUAGUCUAUCGGUAUGUGAUACCAUGUUUUCUUGUUGCUCUACUUAGCUAUUCUGCAUACCCUGUUUCAUAUUUAUAGUAGAGCGAUUCUGUGAUUAUCUGUGAGAUUAGCGAUCUAUGAUUCUAGUUUUCAGUAUUUGUGAACUAUUCGGUGAGUUCCUCGACCUUUGUUGUCUGAUGACCGUUGAGGUCGGUAUACCCUGAGGGGUGGGAUUGUCGGUUGGUUGCCGACGGAUGAUUAUACUUUACUCAUAUCCUAUACUUGUGACAUGAUUGGUUGAGUUUCAUAUCCUAGUUGACCUGAGUGGUCGGUUCUUGUGCUUCUUUACAGUGAUGACCUAUGCGGUCGAUAGGCCCUGGGGGGCAGGAUUGUCGGCUGGUUGCCGACGGUUGAUCAUUGACCAUAUUGCAUUGAUCGCCCGAUACUCGUCGCAUUUCACAAACACUGGCGGUCUGAUCCACCGCAAGGAGUGUUCUUUUCCGGAAAAGUGGUUGAAUGGUGACAACCCGUGAGCCCUAGAGGGGUUAUAUGCAUGUUAGAGCGGCAGUGGUACUGUCGGGAGGUGUUGCGGUGCGGACCUCCAGGGCAUUGGCUUGAGGUCUGCGGUGCUGACCAAGAGAGCAUUGGUUUCAGAUUGGGUACUUUUGGACUUCUUGACCGGUUGACGCAUAUGUCUAUAGCAGCAGUCAUUGCAUGCAUACUUACAGUUCUUACUUUAUAGUUGUCUUGCUGCUAUAGUAGAUGUUCAUGUAUGCUUUCGGUUCCAGUUACAGUAGCGGUAGCCGUUAUUCAGUCUAGUUCUUACUUUCUUUCAGUUUAUUGCUACUGUAUUCGGUAUAUCUGCUCUUUACCUUACUAUUGUUGCUACUAUAUUUCCACUGACCCUUGUUGUUCUUUAGCUCUUCCUGAUCCGGUGAGUACUCCUCGCCUUCAUCGGCUUGCGGUACCCACUGGGAGGGGAGACAUGUUUACAUGUUCUCACCUCCCCCACCAUUUUUCAGGUACCGCGGGCGAUGAAUAGUGGGACGAGACGUGAGGUACGUGUGUAGCGGUCGAUAGAGCUUCCGACCCAGGUUAUUUCGGUAUAGUUAUUACCCUUAUUAUUUCAGUUGUUAUAGCUUAGAUAGUUAUAUGGUUCAGUAUUUUUAUUACAUUUGAAAUAUGGAUUUUCGUGAAUGUAAUAAAUGAAUUUCUGGAUUUUGUGAAAUAAAAGGUUUUCUACCCCUCGUGGUAGCGUUUUUAAAGAAUAAAGGUUUCCGUGUAGGAAACAGUUUUCAAAAGGUUUUCUGUGGAUUUUGCAUCUUAGUAUUUCAAAACCUGUUUCUGUGGUUGGAAACAUUUUAACUGAUAGAUGUGGAUUUAUGUUUAAAUAUCGAAUAUAUAAAUGUGAACCUGUGAUGUGAAUGGUGUAUGAAUAUAUAAUCGUUGGUUAAUUGUAUGUUCAUUUGGUUGUGGUUGUACCUGGGUUACUUCUUGUACUUGUGUGACGCCGUGCAAAUAUAGGGGAGACUCUGUCCGUGUGAACAGUGGAUUCCCUGUGUUUGUGGCGGAUCUGGCAUACUCUGGGGUCAGGCUUUUCAAAAAAAAA